GCCAACAUUUUGAAGAUAUUGGCUGUUAGCAAUGUUUCUUCAGAACAAAAUGGAAGGUCUGACCAUAUUUAUUCAAUCUUUAAUCUUGCUGUUAAGAAUGGAAGAAUAACACCUAAAGGAGGACAAUGAGACGAGAGUGGCGGUUACCUCCUGAGAAUUCCCCUGAAAAGAGUCUGCUGUGCAGUGGGGCAAUGAAGAACCUUAUUGGAAUGAUCAUGUAAGAAGGGGCCCCUGCGGACAGAGGGAGACGCAGAGAGGUUGUUCAGCCGGGAACUGUAAUGGUAAGUUAGCAAAUUAUGAGAAUGUGCCUUUAUGGGCCAAAUGAAGCAUGUAUACAGAGGCGCAUAUCUUAACAUAAUGUAUAUCUUUUGUGCUUCUGAUUGCAAGAGAAAUUGUAUAUGCUUCCUAAGCAGUGUACCCAUUUUUCACUGAGCAACAUAUUUAUUAAACAUAAUAUAUACAUACUAUAUCUAACUACAGCAUACAACUUUAUCUCAAACAAAUCACAACACAGUGAAACACACAUUUAAUAUUUUAGUCGUUUUACUCUUUUUUUUUUUUUACUGGGGUUGCUAGCACCUUGCUCCACCAGCACUAACAGACAUACCAUUCUGUCUGGUAAACAGUUUUAACAUUUUGUGGUAAGGUUUCAGUAUAGUAAUUUAUUAUUUAAAA